rnacentral:rRNA from 1 species
CUACGGGGGGCAGCAGUGGGGAAUAUUGCACAAUGGACGAAAGUCUGAUGCAGCAACGCCGCGUGGAGGAUGACACUUUUCGGAGCGUAAACUCCUUUUAUAUAGGAAGAUAAUGACGGUACUAUAUGAAUAAGCACCGGCUAACUCCGUGCCAGCAGCCGCGGUAAUACGGAGGGUGCAAGCGUUACUCGGAAUCACUGGGCGUAAAGAGCGUGUAGGCGGAUAGAUAAGUCAGGAGUGAAAUCCUAUGGCUCAACCAUAGAACUGCUCUUGAAACUGUCUAUCUAGAAUAUGGGAGAGGUAGAUGGAAUUUCUGGUGUAGGGGUAAAAUCCGUAGAGAUCAGAAGGAAUACCGAUUGCGAAGGCGAUCUACUGGAACAUUAUUGACGCUGAGACGCGAAAGCGUGGGGAGCAAACAGGAUUAGAUACCCUAGUAGUC